AGUGAACGCUGGCGGCGUGCCUAAUACAUGCAAGUCGAACGAAGUGGCGCACGGGUGAGUAAUAUAUAGUUAAUCUGCCCUACACCGAGGAACAACAGUUGGAAACGGCUGCUAAUACCUCAUAGUGUAGGAUGAGACUAUCUCGUAUCAGCUAGUUGUUAAGGUAAUGGCUUACCAAGGCUAUGACGCGUAACUGGUCUGAGAGGAUGAUCAGUCACAUUGGAACGGAGACACGGUCCAAACUCCUACGGGAGGGAGCAGUAAGGAAUAUGGCGAAAGGGGGGAAAUCCUGACGCAGCAACGCCGCGUGGAGGAUGACACUUUUCGGAGCGUAAACUCCUUUUAGCAGGAAAGCGGUACCUGAUGAAUAAGCACCGGCUAACUCCGUGCCAGCAGCCGCGGUAAUUC
rnacentral:rRNA from 1 species